rnacentral:rRNA from 1 species
GAUACAAGUAAGGUUAGGUCGGGCCUCCGUGUACCUACUGGUCUCACUGAUUCCUCCUUCCUGAAGAACCUUAAUGCCAUUAAUUUGGUGUUGCGGGGAAACCAGACUGUUACUUUUAAAAAAUUAAAGUGUUUUAAGCAAGCUAACGCUUGGAUACAUUAACAUGGAAUAAUGAAAUAGGACGAUCGAGCCUAUUUUGUUGGUUUCUAUGAUUGACCUAAUGAUAAAAAGAGAUAGUUGGGGG